UGCCUGGCUCCUCCUGGAUCUGUAGCCAGGGGGAGCUAGAGCCUGUGGCAGCACCUGUGCUGACCCCAGCAGUAUAAAAAGCUACCCUAGCAAACAGCUCAGGGCUACUUGCUUUCAAGAGCUUUUGAGGGAGGAGCCUCUGGGAGGAAGUUGGCCAUGCCCUUUCCUGACCCAGGCUGCUGCUGCAGCUGGUUGUUGCAAGCUUGGUCUCAGGAGCCUCUGGGGAGCAGAUGGCCAGGCCUUUUCCUGCCUUUGGCUACUAUUAGCUGCUGGCUUGGUCUCAGAGCUUUUGGAGUAAAUUCAACCCCUUCCUGUCUUGGGCUGCUGCUCUUCCUGCCCCCCCCCCCCCGGGGGGGGUACUCUGCUGCAUGCUGCUGCCUCCCCCUUGGGGAGGGGCCCAGUGCACUGCACCACACCCCAGCUUCUGCACCCCUGUUCCAGCCUGCUACCAAGCCGUGGUCAGGGACAGCCUGGGGAGGGAGUCUGCAUUGCCUGUGGGCCCCUCCCCCACCAUCACUGCUGGAGCCUAAAGGAACCUUGCUUGCCUCAGCUGCCUUAGCAGGCCACCCCCACCUUCACCUCCACUUUCACCAGAAGCACACCCUGAGUGGCUGAAAUGGACGGCUCCUAUCAUCACUGCUGCUGUUGCUACUGCUGCCUUGUUGCUGCUGCUGCCCCCUCUCAGGAGAGAAGGAGAUUCCCUGCAGCACCACCUGCACUAGAUCACUUCCUAAUUGACUGACUGCUCCUACCCUCCCCCACAGCUACCUCACUGUAUCUGAUCCUCAUUUGUCUUCCUGCUUUCUGCUCUGCUGCUGAGUAACCGGCUGGAGGCCUAAGGGGCUUCUGGACAGUUCUUCCACAAACAAAGCCCCUCCACUGCUCUAGCCAUCUUUUUACACCUGUCUCAGCAGCCUUCCCUGUGUAUUUUUUCCACUUGUGGUCAUGAUCAAGCUGGCGACAGGAGCGUGGCUGGAGGCUGAGGGGUGCCUGGUAAUUCUUUAUCAGGGGACCUUGGUGAGGACUCUCUAUACACCGGGGAACCUGCAAUGCUUCUGGUGUCGUGCCCCGGGGCACUUGCAUCAUGAGUGCCCCAUGGGCCAGGUGGGGAGGGCAUCUCCAGGUCCCACUGGAAAGAGGGGUGCCCCUACCGCUGGUGCCCCACCCCCCUCAGGCCCCCCUGGCACACCAGCCAGAACUACAAGCCCACCCAUAAGCUCAAGGGACCCAGGGAGGGCACCAGCAACUGGGGGGAGAGAUGGAGCAGAGCCCCCCUGCCCCUAGUCAUACCCCCAUUGUGGCUUCCCCAGCCCCCCAACCCUCACCUUUUUCUUGCUGGAUCCUGUCCACCUGAGGACCACCCCAUAGCUGAGUGGGUGCAGGUCCCCUCCAGACAUAAAAGCAAGAGGAAGGCCUGGGCACAGUUGGAGCCCUCUGAUGUGGAUGACUUCUCCCCCUCCCAAGACAACCACAUGGUGGAGGUGGGGGAAGGAGUGGCCCAGCCUCCAGGGGUCUCCCCACCUCUGUCUGACACCCACCCCUGGGAAAGAUCAAACAGGUGAUCCCCAUGUUGGAAGUUUCAGGGCUGCUGGAUAGUCCCGAACAGGAGCCCAUGGUCAAAGCCCUUCGUUCUGCUGGCAAAGGCCUACCCCGUGAAACCACGGGCGCCAAGGCUGAGGCCUACCCAAAGGAAGGCCUGGCAGCAGAGCCUCCUCCCUCUGAUCUAGGGGAUACAGAGGACCUGGGGCUCACCCCAGUGAGUCCUGAAAGGGGACCUUCUUCCUCCCAGGACCCCACGGCAGAUACCAGAGCCCACGCUGGUGCGUGGUGGCUCUCUUCCCUCCCCCUCCACCUCCCAGGAAAACCACCUCCAGCCUGCCCCAUAGCCCCACACCAGAGAGGGUCACAGUGGGGUCCCCUAAUCUUAGCAGAUUGGGGGGUUCAGAUGGCACCAAAGGAGCCCUCUGAACUCUAGGACCAGGAGGAGGACACCCAAGAACCAGCAGGCUCCAUGGAGCCUGCAGACCUCGUUGUUUCAGUGGUCCCCAGGGAUGAGCUACUUGCAUUUCUUGACCAUGAUUACACCCGCUGGUUCACCAGAAAGGUACAGCUAGCUUUGGACUGCUGGGGAGAUUUUGACAGCCUCCUCGCCACUGCUGGCUUGGUCUUAGAGCUUUUGGGUGUAAGUUGGCAGCACCCCUUUCUGCCUUGGGCUGCUGUUGCUGCUGCUAUUGCUGCUCCCUCCGCAAGGGGGUCCU